rnacentral:rRNA from 1 species
AAUAGAUACCCCGGUAGUCCACGCCGUAAACGAUGAGUGCUAAGUGUUAGAGGGUUUCCGCCCUUUAGUGCUGAAGUUAACGCAUUAAGCACUCCGCCUGGGGAGUACGGCCGCAAGGCUGAAACUCAAAGGAAUUGACGGGGGCCCGCACAAGCGGUGGAGCAUGUGGUUUAAUUCGAAGCAACGCGAAGAACCUUACCAGGUCUUGACAUCCUCUGACAACCCUAGAGAUAGGGCUUCUCCUUCGGGAGCAGAGUGACAGGUGGUGCAUGGUUGUCGUCAGCUCGUGUCGUGAGAUGUUGGGUUAAGUCCCGCAACGAGCGCAACCCUUGAUCUUAGUUGCCAUCAUUUAGUUGGGCACUCUAAGGUGACUGCCGGUGACAAACCGGAGGAAGGUGGGGAUGACGUCAAAUCAUCAUGCCCCUUAUGACCUGGGCUACACACGUGCUACAAUGGACGGUACAAAGAGCUGCAAGGCCGUGAGGUGGAGCUAAUCUCAUAAAACCGUUCUCAGUUCGGAUUGUAGG